GGGAUACUGCUGGGGAUCCACAGAGUUGUGCUCCUUCCAGUUGCCCAGAAGUAGCCUUCCUGGCCUCUGUACCCACUCACCUGCGUGCUCAUUCUCCCACAAAGGGUUGAGAGCUGUGGGCUGAGUUAAGCCAGCCACCCCUUUAUGAGUCAAGCAGUGGCAGGGAUUGAGGAUAUUGACUCCAAUUAAAAAAAAAUUUCUGUGGAUAAAAUGUGAUCAAAUAGCAUAGCAUGCUACAGGAAAAUCAUUUGUGAAAGAAUCAACUGAUGGCAGCAAACUUGACCCUUGUUUUAAUAUACAAAAUUGCCACAGCCACCCAACUUAAGUCAUCACCACUCUGAUCAGUCACAUCAAGAUGAAGAGGGAGACAUUAUCUCUAGCUUCCAAAGCUGUUUACUAGAGGAACAACUUUUAAAAGAUGCUCCAGUACAAAGACCUUUUUGGUGCCUCUAAGACUGUCAGAAACACAAAAGACCCAUGAAGAAUCGGCUCCCAGUAGAUUGUUCUUGGAAGUAUCAAGCAAAGGACAACUUGCUAUUAUAACUAAAAUUGCAAUACAAUAAAUAAAUGUUAACAUGGUUUUGUCUUUGAACACUCUAGAGUAACUGUGAACCACAAGAAUAUAGCAGAGAUAAAGAUAUUUAGAAAAUAUUGACAGGUGGGCAUUGUCUUCAAAUGUUUGAGAUUGUACUAUACUGAUAAGACCAAACCUUGGGUAAUUGUUACAGCCCUAGCUUUGAUCAAACUGGGAAGUGUGGAUAAGCAAUGUUUCAUAUAAACUGAGACUAUUUUUGUCUUAUCUGUGAGUGAUGAUAAA
rnacentral:lncRNA from 1 species